UUUUAUUUCUUGUUUUUUUCUAUGCUCCAUCGUUUCCCCCUCCAGCCACUCUUGUCCCCCUCAGCUCACAACUCCUGUCAUUUGUGUCCACUUAUGUAGCUGGAGAGCUGCUCCUUUAGCUUUUUCUAAGCUGCUUUCCAUAUCUUUAAAACCUACAGAUGCUCGGAUAGUCAUCAAUCUAGAAGAGACAGGCAGCCAUGUGAUGCCCGACUUUCCAGAUGGGGUUUCAGGGUGACCCUGUCUGAUCACCAGGCUCGACUUAUGAAAUACAGUCACUGAUGAAAUUCAUGGCAGGCAAACUCCCUGCACGAUGUGGGGCAACAGCAUGAUGGAUGGGCCUAUGAUGACUGAUAGCUCUUCUCUUACCCUUAGUCUAUGAAUUUUGGUUCAUGAAUUUCCUCCAGCGGGGACUGAGUUGUCCCAGAGAUAAGAUAAUGACACUCAGCCAGGAGCUGGGCUCUGGGCUUAUUACUUGCUUAAGGAUAUCACCCUCAUUACUCAGUAAAGCAAAUUAUUACUGACAAGGUAAGGUUUUAGUCCCUUUUAGUGGUUUUUACAUUAAACAGACAGCCUGGCAUAUGGAUCAAGAUUCCCAGCACUGUAAAAAAAUUCUCUUCUAAAGUAUGGACAAAACAGGGAAUUUAAAUAAAAGGGAAGAUUUAUAUAUAUAGGAGCUUAAUAAUCUUCCUUGUCAUCUGUUCAUUCUUUUUGGGAAAUUACUAUUACAGCUCACUAUAAUCUUAAUCCUUCAUAGUUUCUUUUUUUUUAAAUACAUGACCCUUUUUUUAGUAUUAGGAAAUGAAUCAAAAGUCUGAAUACAAAAAAAAAAUUGGGUGACUUUAAUAUGCCUGCUAACGUUAUCUCAUUAAUCCUCAUGGUGCUUCUGAAAGAUGUAUGCAAUAUAUUUUUAUCUCCAUUUUACAGAAUGUGAAACCUAGAUAUCCCAAAGCUCUUUAACAUACUUCAGAUCACAGAGGGGCUCAGUAAUAUAAUCAGAAAUAAAAGCCAGCUUUUCUUACAGAAGGUCUCUGACAAUUAAUCAGAAUCACAGCAAGUCUGCUCUUUCUUUAAUGACUAGAAAUUUCAUCUGAAGCUGAAGGCUGAUUUAGCCAUGAGUAAAGUCAUCACAGCUGGUAAUUUUAUAUCUUUAGGAGAUGUUCAGUCUAAAAACCUGUAACAUAACAUGUAGCCUUUGCUUAGAUUUGGUACACCACAGCAAAGAUAUCUACUAAAAAUAUUCUUAUAAAGAAAAUCUUAUUCUCUCUUACUUCAUUUAUAAAAUUCAGAAGUUAUUCUCCUGGAAAACAGAAUCCAUAGACAGAAUCCAUAGACUGUAAUUGAAAAAGUGGCAAUGCAGAGUCAAGAUUUGUAAGAAGACAGUCAAGUACCUUGGAAAUUGGGACUCAGUUACCUCCCCAAGAUUCUGGUUUCUGUUCCUGAAACUAACACAACCAAGCAUGAGCAAUAAUAAUGGCCAUGUCUACAGGGAGCUGAUGUGGCAAAAAUCACCUCCUAUAUCCCCACUGUUUCCCUUAGCCUAAUGAACAAGGUAUUUAAUGCAUAAUAUCACCUACAAAGGGAAAGAUAUAUGAAUAAUUGAUGAUAUUCAAAUAUACCACUAUUACUCUGACCCAUUGUAUUUCUACCGGCAGAUGACCCUAAUGUUCCUGGAGUACUUCAAGUCCUUUCCAUUACCUAUCACUUUUCCAACCAAGAGAUCUCUUCCAUUAACCUUCCACAGAGCAUUUCCCAUUUCUAUAAUUCCAAGGUUUUACACUUGGAUUUCCAUCAUGUUACUUUCAUUGAACAAUUAACAACUAAUUCAAUGGUGAUUCAAUUUUAUUGAGCAUAAUAAUCACCUGCGAUGCAAUAUUAAACAUUCUCAGGCCUUCAGCAAUUCUGAUACAGAUAGGAGGGCAGGACUCAGCAAUUAAAUGAGAACCCCAACGAUUUUGAUAUAGGCAUUCCAAGGACCACUCUUAGAAAAACAAAACAAAACAAAACAAAAACAAAAACAACCUUCACCUUUCUAUAAUGAUCCUAUUCCAUGAAUAAAGAAAUGGAGAUUCAGAAAAGUUUCUCACCCAAGACAAUGUAUUCAUUCAUUCAAUCAGUCACUUAGUCAACAAAUACUGUGGAUACAGAUGCUCAGACACUAUUGGUUUAUGCAGAAUUAGAGCCUGGCCUGGUUCCCAAUCCACAGCUCCUUCUACUCUGACUGCUGCCAUAUGCU
rnacentral:lncRNA from 1 species